rnacentral:rRNA from 1 species
UAAUAUUAAGUAUCUCCUGCUCAAUGAACCUUAAAUAGCCGCAGAAAAUUAACUGUGCUAAGGUAGCAUAAUCAUUAGCCCUUUAAUUAAGGGCUCGUAUGAAUGGAUAAACAUUUUGUAUACUAUAAAUUAUUUGAUUAUAUUAAAUUUUGAUUAAGGUAUAAAAAUAUAAUUAUAAAAAAAAAAGACGACAAGACCCUAUUGAACUUUACUUUAGUUCAGCUGGGGCAGCUAGACAAAAAUAAUUUUAAACAAAUUAGUUAUAUAAAAGACCCGACAUAGUUGAGUUUAUGAAAAGUUACCAUAGGGAUAACAGCGUAAUUUAUUUUUUAAGCUCUUAUUAUAAGAUAAGAUUGCGACCUCGAUGUUGAAUUAGUGUUUCUUUUUAAAUGCAACAAUUUUUAAAGUAGGUCUGUUCGACCUUUAAAACAUUACA